UACGUAGGGGGCGAGCGUUAUCCGGAGUUACUGGGCGUAAAGCGCACGCAGGCGGUGCUGCAAGUUUGGGGUUACAGCUCCCGGCUCAACUGGGAGAGCGCCUUGAAGACUGCAGGACUUGAGGGCCAAAGAGGGACACAGAAUUCCGGGUGUAGUGGUGAAAUGCGUAGAUAUCCGGAGGAAUACCAAAGGCGAAGGCAGUGUCCUGGGUGGUACCUGACGCUCAGGUGCGAAAGCUAGGGGAGCGAACGGG
rnacentral:rRNA from 1 species